UAGGCGGAUGCUCGCUGGUUUGGGCGCUUAGCUGUUAAUUAAGAGGAUUGUAGGAUCGAGGUUUUCCCGUCUAG
rnacentral:tRNA from 1 species